rnacentral:rRNA from 1 species
AAAGGUCGAAGGAAGAAAUUCAUUCGCGUUUCGACGCAGGCGUCGGACGGUCGCGUGACGCGAAACGUUCGCGUUUUGCGCACCCUCCGUUCGUCGAACCGGCGACGAACGCGUGCACUUUUCUUCUGGUAGGACGUCGCGAUCCGUUGGGCGUCAGUCUACGACGUGCGAUGGAGCCCGUCGGUCGCGUUUCGGCGCGACUAACGAACUCGCACGAUCCGGCUGACACGCUCGACGGUAUACGAAAGGUUUGAGGCCGCUCUAGCGAGCGUUCGACUCUCGGCAAGCGCGCCAGACGCGUCGGCAAUCGGACCUAGUGCCGAUUCCGACCUCUGGUGACUGUUGGCCGUUGAUGUUCUCGGACAGACCUCACGACCGAUCUGCGACGCUAUAGCUUUGGGUACUUUCAGGACCCGUCUUGAAACACGGACCAAGGAGUCUAGCAUGUGCGCGAGUCAUUGGGAAUCACUAAACCUAAAGGCGUAAUGAAAGUGAAGGUCUUCCUUGCGGAGACCGAGGGAAGACGGGCGGUUCGCCGUUAAAAGCGGCCGUUCAGCAUUCCCGGGGCGUCUCAUUCUCAUCGCGAGAAGAGGCGCACCAAGAGCGUACACG